rnacentral:misc_RNA from 1 species
AAAGUCGUAACAAGGUUUCCGUAGGUGAACCUGCGGAAGGAUCAUUAAUGAUUUGGCAAACCGAGCGUUAGCGAGGUUUUGCGAUCAAUUUGUAUUUAAAACCCAACUCUUUAUAAUAAUUAUACAUAAUUUUUAAUGAUAAAAAUUAGAUCACUUUCAACAACGGAUCUCUUGGCUCUC